rnacentral:piRNA from 1 species
UGAAAGAGGCAAACUCCACAGAAAGUC